rnacentral:rRNA from 1 species
UACGUAGGGUGCGAGCGUUGUCCGGAAUUAUUGGGCGUAAAGCGCGCGCAGGCGGUUUCUUAAGUCUGAUGUGAAAGCCCACGGCUUAACCGUGGAAGGUCAUUGGAAACUGGGAGACUUGAGUGCAGAAGAGAAGAGCGGAAUUCCACGUGUAGCGGUGAAAUGCGUAGAGAUGUGGAGGAACACCAGUGGCGAAGGCGGCUCUUUGGUCUGUAACUGACGCUGAGGCGCGAAAGCGUGGGGAUCAAACAGG